UCUGAGGAGGAAAGGGUGGGACCUUAGGGCCACCUGCCAUAAGAUGAGCCCAAGUGGGAUUAGGUAGUUGGUGGGGUAAAGGCCUACCAAGCCUGCGAUCUCUAGCUGGUCUGAGAGGAUGACCAGCCACACUGGAACUGAGACACGGUCCAGACUCCUACGGGAGGCAGCAGUGGGGAAUAUUGCGCAAUGGGGGGAACCCUGACGCAGCCAUGCCGCGUGAAUGAAGAAGGCCUUCGGGUUGUAAAGUUCUUUCGGUAAUGAGGAAGGGAUGUUGUUAAAUAGAUAGCAUCAUUGACGUUAAUUACAGAAGAAGCACCGGCUAACUCCGUGCCAGCAGCCGCGGUAAUACGGAGGGUGCGAGCGUUAAUCGGAAUAACUGGGCGUAAAGGGCACGCAGGCGGACUUUUAAGUGAGAUGUGAAAUCCCCGAGCUUAACUUGGGAACUGCAUUUCAGACUGGGAGUCUAGAGUACUUUAGGGAGGGGUAGAAUUCCACGUGUAGCGGUGAAAUGCGUAGAGAUGUGGAGGAAUACCGAAGGCGAAGGCAGCCCCUUGGGAAUGUACUGACGCUCAUGUGCGAAAGCGUGGGGAGCAAACAGGAUUAGAUACCCUGGUAGUCCACGCUGUAAACGCUGUCGAUUUGGGGAUUGGGCUAUAUGCUUGGUGCCCGAAGCUAACGUGAUAAAUCGACCGCCUGGGGAGUACGGCCGCAAGGUUAAAACUCAAAUGAAUUGACGGGGGCCCGCACAAGCGGUGGAGCAUGUGGUUUAAUUCGAUGCAACGCGAAGAA
rnacentral:rRNA from 1 species